GGGUUGUGAGGUUAAGCGACUAAGCGUACACGGUGGAUGCCCUGGCAGUCAGAGGCGAUGAAGGACGUGCUAAUCUGCGAUAAGCGUCGGUAAGGUGAUAUGAACCGUUAUAACCGGCGAUUUCCGAAUGGGGAAACCCAGUGUGAUUCGUCACACUAUCAUUAACUGAAUCCAUAGGUUAAUGAGGCGAACCGGGGGAACUGAAACAUCUAAGUACCCCGAGGAAAAGAAAUCAACCGAGAUUCCCCCAGUAGCGGCGAGCGAACGGGGAGCAGCCCAGAGCCUGAAUCAGUGUGUGUGUUAGUGGAAGCGUCUGGAAAGGCGCGCGAUACAGGGUGACAGCCCCGUACACAAAAAUGCACAUGCUGUGAGCUCGAUGAGUAGGGCGGGACACGUGGUAUCCUGUCUGAAUAUGGGGGGACCAUCCUCCAAGGCUAAAUACUCCUGACUGACCGAUAGUGAACCAGUACCGUGAGGGAAAGGCGAAAAGAACCCCGGCGAGGGGAGUGAAAAAGAACCUGAAACCGUGUACGUACAAGCAGUGGGAGCACGCUUCGGCGUGUGACUGCGUACCUUUUGUAUAAUGGGUCAGCGACUUAUAUUCUGUAGCAAGGUUAACCGAAUAGGGGAGCCGAAGGGAAACCGAGUCUUAACUGGGCGUUAAGUUGCAGGGUAUAGACCCGAAACCCGGUGAUCUAGCCAUGGGCAGGUUGAAGGUUGGGUAACACUAACUGGAGGACCGAACCGACUAAUGUUGAAAAAUUAGCGGAUGACUUGUGGCUGGGGGUGAAAGGCCAAUCAAACCGGGAGAUAGCUGGUUCUCCCCGAAAGCUAUUUAGGUAGCGCCUCGUGAAUUCAUCUCCGGGGGUAGAGCACUGUUUCGGCAAGGGGGUCAUCCCGACUUACCAACCCGAUGCAAACUGCGAAUACCGGAGAAUGUUAUCACGGGAGACACACGGCGGGUGCUAACGUCCGUCGUGAAGAGGGAAACAACCCAGACCGCCAGCUAAGGUCCCAAAGUCAUGGUUAAGUGGGAAACGAUGUGGGAAGGCCCAGACAGCCAGGAUGUUGGCUUAGAAGCAGCCAUCAUUUAAAGAAAGCGUAAUAGCUCACUGGUCGAGUCGGCCUGCGCGGAAGAUGUAACGGGGCUAAACCAUGCACCGAAGCUGCGGCAGCGACACUAUGUGUUGUUGGGUAGGGGAGCGUUCUGUAAGCCUGUGAAGGUGUGCUGUGAGGUAUGCUGGAGGUAUCAGAAGUGCGAAUGCUGACAUAAGUAACGAUAAAGCGGGUGAAAAGCCCGCUCGCCGGAAGACCAAGGGUUCCUGUCCAACGUUAAUCGGGGCAGGGUGAGUCGACCCCUAAGGCGAGGCCGAAAGGCGUAGUCGAUGGGAAACAGGUUAAUAUUCCUGUACUUGGUGUUACUGCGAAGGGGGGACGGAGAAGGCUAUGUUGGCCGGGCGACGGUUGUCCCGGUUUAAGCGUGUAGGCUGGUUUUCCAGGCAAAUCCGGAAAAUCAAGGCUGAGGCGUGAUGACGAGGCACUACGGUGCUGAAGUAACAAAUGCCCUGCUUCCAGGAAAAGCCUCUAAGCAUCAGGUAACAUCAAAUCGUACCCCAAACCGACACAGGUGGUCAGGUAGAGAAUACCAAGGCGCUUGAGAGAACUCGGGUGAAGGAACUAGGCAAAAUGGUGCCGUAACUUCGGGAGAAGGCACGCUGAUAUGUAGGUGAAGCGACUUGCUCGUGGAGCUGAAAUCAGUCGAAGAUACCAGCUGGCUGCAACUGUUUAUUAAAAACACAGCACUGUGCAAACACGAAAGUGGACGUAUACGGUGUGACGCCUGCCCGGUGCCGGAAGGUUAAUUGAUGGGGUCAGCGCAAGCGAAGCUCUUGAUCGAAGCCCCGGUAAACGGCGGCCGUAACUAUAACGGUCCUAAGGUAGCGAAAUUCCUUGUCGGGUAAGUUCCGACCUGCACGAAUGGCGUAAUGAUGGCCAGGCUGUCUCCACCCGAGACUCAGUGAAAUUGAACUCGCUGUGAAGAUGCAGUGUACCCGCGGCAAGACGGAAAGACCCCGUGAACCUUUACUAUAGCUUGACACUGAACAUUGAGCCUUGAUGUGUAGGAUAGGUGGGAGGCUUUGAAGUGUGGACGCCAGUCUGCAUGGAGCCGACCUUGAAAUACCACCCUUUAAUGUUUGAUGUUCUAACGUUGACCCGUGAUCCGGGUUGCGGACAGUGUCUGGUGGGUAGUUUGACUGGGGCGGUCUCCUCCUAAAGAGUAACGGAGGAGCACGAAGGUUGGCUAAUCCUGGUCGGACAUCAGGAGGUUAGUGCAAUGGCAUAAGCCAGCUUGACUGCGAGCGUGACGGCGCGAGCAGGUGCGAAAGCAGGUCAUAGUGAUCCGGUGGUUCUGAAUGGAAGGGCCAUCGCUCAACGGAUAAAAGGUACUCCGGGGAUAACAGGCUGAUACCGCCCAAGAGUUCAUAUCGACGGCGGUGUUUGGCACCUCGAUGUCGGCUCAUCACAUCCUGGGGCUGAAGUAGGUCCCAAGGGUAUGGCUGUUCGCCAUUUAAAGUGGUACGCGAGCUGGGUUUAGAACGUCGUGAGACAGUUCGGUCCCUAUCUGCCGUGGGCGCUGGAGAACUGAGGGGGGCUGCUCCUAGUACGAGAGGACCGGAGUGGACGCAUCACUGGUGUUCGGGUUGUCAUGCCAAUGGCACUGCCCGGUAGCUAAAUGCGGAAGAGAUAAGUGCUGAAAGCAUCUAAGCACGAAACUUGCCCCGAGAUGAGUUCUCCCUGACCCUUUAAGGGUCCUGAAGGAACGUUGAAGACGACGACGUUGAUAGGCCGGGUGUGUAAGCGCAGCGAUGCGUUGAGCUAACCGGUACUAAUGAACCGUGAGGCUUAACCUUACAACGCCGAAGCUGUU
rnacentral:rRNA from 1 species